rnacentral:rRNA from 1 species
UUAAGGGUGACAGCGGCGGACGGGUGAGUAAUGUCUGGGAAACUGCCUGAUGGAGGGGGAUAACUACUGGAAACGGUAGCUAAUACCGCAUAACGUCUUCGGACCAAAGAGGGGGACCUUCGGGCCUCUUGCCAUCAGAUGUGCCCAGAUGGGAUUAGCUAGUAGGUGAGGUAAUGGCUCACCUAGGCGACGAUCCCUAGCUGGUCUGAGAGGAUGACCAGCCACACUGGAACUGAGACACGGUCCAGACUCCUACGGGAGGCAGCAGUGGGGAAUAUUGCACAAUGGGCGCAAGCCUGAUGCAGCCAUGCCGCGUGUGUGAAGAAGGCCUUCGGGUUGUAAAGCACUUUCAGCGGGGAGGAAGGCGGUGAGGUUAAUAACCUCAUCGAUUGACGUUACCCGCAGAAGAAGCACCGGCUAACUCCGUGCCAGCAGCCGCGGUAAUACGGAGGGUGCAAGGGUUAAUCGGAAUGACUGGGCGUAAAGCGCACGCAGGCGGUUUGUUAAGUCAGAUGUGAAAUCCCCGAGCUUAACUUGGGAACUGCAUUUGAAACUGGCAAGCUAGAGUCUUGUAGAGGGGGGUAGAAUUCCAGGUGUAGCGGUGAAAUGCGUAGAGAUCUGGAGGAAUACCGGUGGCGAAUGCGGCCCCCUGGACAAAGACUGACGCUCAUGUGCAAAAGCGUGGGGAGCAAACAGGAUUAG